CCUACGGGAGGCAGCAGUGAGGAAUAUUGGUCAAUGGGCGAGAGCCUGAACCAGCCAAGUCGCGUGAAGGAUGGCGGCCCUACGGGUUGUAAACUUCUUUUGUCAGGGAGCAAUUGGGUCCACGCGUGGGCUUAGCGAGAGUACCUGAAGAAAAAGCAUCGGCUAACUCCGGGCCAGCAGCCGCGGUAAUACGGAGGAUGCGAGCGUUAUCCGGAAUGACUGGGCGUAAAGGGUGCGGAGGUGGUUCGGCAAGUUAGUAGCGUAAUUCCGGGGCUCAACCUCGGAACUACUACUAAAACUGUUGGGCUUGAGUGGAGGAGGGGCAUAUGGAAUUCCUAGUGUAGCGGUGGAAUGCGUAGAUAUUAGGAAGAACACCAGUGGCGAAGGCGAUAUGCUGGACUGUAACUGACACUGAGGCACGAAAGCGUGGGGAGCAAACAGGAUUAGAUACCCGAGUAGUC
rnacentral:rRNA from 1 species